CACAUGGACUGUCACUGGAGGUAAGGAAGUUGUUAAAACAAUCUUAAAUUAGUGGCUUUAUUUCGCAUCAAACACAAGACCGCUUUAAGCAAAUAUAAAAAUGUAUUAGUAUGUAAAUUAAUUGUAAUUCUAUUUUUAUACAAUAUAAAUAGAACGUACUUAAAAUACAAAGCGUUGGACAAACUAUGCAAAAAAAACACAAAAAAACUAUGCACUCUUUUCCGUCAAAAUGUACCUGAUGGAAUCGCCCUGAACUCGUGCAUCUUCGGGUGCGGGCUGCGUGGAAAGUUACAAAGAAUGCGCUGCACACCACGCGCACUCAAAACGAACUUCCGCCAAUGAGUUUUGAAGAACUCACGCGCCACUGAGAAGUUACCUGUGAGCACAAUGACUGUGCUGUGUCACACAUUCCUGCUCUUUACAGUCAGUAUGGCUUCCCUGCAGCCACAGACGUCUUCACGGAGCAGAAGGGGUUUGCUGGAGCUAGCUGGUGUGAUCAAGUGCAGCAUGGGACGAUCAGCUUUAUCUUAUGUAAAGUAUGGAUGUUACUGUGGUCACGGGGGUCAAGGGUGGCCAAGAGACAGAGCAGACUGAUGCGUUUAAUGACAGAUGUGCGAAUAUCCUUUGCCGAUGUGACCGGGAAGCAGCCAGAUGCCUCCGAGAGGCACCGUACAACCGAAAUUAUGCUCUGUGGCCAGAUUUCCUCUGUGGAUAUCUUCGUCCUACCUGCCACAUCUACUAAUGUCAUUUACUUGAAAUUUGGCAAACAAAUCUUUUUGAGCUUGUAUUGUAUGUUCGAUGUUGAUUACAGACUUCAUUCUGUUCAAAUGAUUUCCAUUUUCCACAUAUGUGUAUUUUAUAUUUGCAUAGCUGACUUUCGAAAGCGAAUAGAUUAAAACGUGCAAAAUAAUCACCAUAUUGCUCAUUUCUUAGCUACGUAAAUUCAGUCAUGACAUCAGAGCGUUUUCUGAUUGGCACUGCAGAGAGAGUGGGGAGAGUUAUUUAGUUAUUAAUGUAAAUGUGUCAUAAACAAUAGGUAGAGUACUGUCAGGACCUCUGCAUGCAGACACAAUUUGCAAAAUACAUACAGCUGCUUUAGGAAAGGGGUCUCCACAGUCGGUCCUGCGGGUCGGGGUCCUGCAGAGUUUAGCUUCAACAGCAAUUAAACAUACCUGAACCAGCUAAUCAGGGUCUUACCAGGCAUGCUAGAAACUUCCAGGCAGGAGUGUUGAGGCAAUCUGGAGCUAAACUCUGCAGGACGGUGGCCCUCCAGGACAGAGUGUGGACACCCCUAAUUUAGGAUGACUAAAAACAAGUCAAAACAACUUCACAUAAAGAUAUUUCUUAUUUGAAUCCCCCUCAUUAACAAUGCCCCACCCCGAUCAUAUGGCCUUGAAAAACUUGGAUAUGCAUAUGGAAGUGUGAAGUUAUAAGAAAACCCUAUGCCAUAAUUUAUUUAAAAUAGUACUUAUAAUAGUAUAGACAUAUCACUUAAGACUUAUAAUAAUUAUACUUUAUUUGGAAUAUUUAUUCAUUGCACGAUGCACAUUUCUUAAUAUUCUGCCAAAAAUGUUUUAAUAUCACCAUUAACAAGGACUGCAUGAUCUCUGUAUAAUAAUCUUUGAAUGGAAGAUAUUUAAAGUGCACCUAAAGUAUACUUGCAAUAGUUCCACUUUAGCACAAUCUUAUACACUUCAGUAU